rnacentral:rRNA from 1 species
GAAACCAUUCGGUUAUUUUCUCUCAAUGAGAAGGGCGAAUUGAAUGCCAUCUCCCAAAUUCCAGUCAUUUGUGAGUAUCAAGAUGUCUUUCCAGAAGAGCUUCCGGGUAUGCCUCCUCAUCGGCCAGUUGAGUUCGUUAUCGAACUAGAGCCUGGCACUAAACCCGUUUGCAAGCGUCCAUACAAGCUUGGACCCAACGAGCUGAAGGAAUUGAAGAAACAGCUCGAUGAACAAGAGCGUCUGGGUUUGAUUAGACCGAGUUCUUCUCCAUGUGGUUGUGGUGUUCUUUUUGUCAAGAAGAAGGAUGGCACGGACCGACUUUGUGUCGACUACCGUCCAUUGAACAAGAAGACAAUCAAGAACAAGUAUCCACUUCCCAACAUCAAUGAGCUAUUUGAGCAACUCAAAGGUGCUAAAGUAUUCUCCAAGCUUGACCUUCGUAUGGGUUAUCAUCAGAUUCGCAUUCGUGAAGAAGAUAUUCCCAAGACAGCAUUCAGAACAAGCUUUGGUUCUUAUGAAUAUACUGUCGUGUCUUUCGGCCUUGUCAAUGCUCCUCCAGUGUUCUCUCGGAUGAUGAAUUUCAUCUUCAACCCCUAUACCAAAGAAUUCGUUCUGGUGUAUCUCGAUGAUAUCUUGGUCUUCUCCAAGAAUAAGAAGGAUCAUGCCAAACAUUUGCGAUUGGUGCUCGACAAGCUCAGAGAGUAUCAAUUCUAU